UACGUAGGGCGCAAGCGUUAUCCGGAAUUAUUGGGCGUAAAGAGCUCGUAGGCGGUUUGUCGCGUCUGCCGUGAAAGUCCGGGGCUCAACUCCGGAUCUGCGGUGGGUACGGGCAGACUAGAGUGAUGUAGGGGAGACUGGAAUUCCUGGUGUAGCGGUGAAAUGCGCAGAUAUCAGGAGGAACACCGGUGGCGAAGGCGGUUCUCUGGGCAUGAUCUGACGCUGAGGAGCGAAAGUGUGGGGAGCGAGCAGG
rnacentral:rRNA from 1 species